rnacentral:lncRNA from 1 species
CACUACCAUUUAGCACUUUGUUUCAAUUUGUUCAGCGUCCACCUCCUUCAUCCGAGAUGAGAACUGGUGUACCCAUAAUCCUCUUUGUUGCAGUGGCAGGUUUCCACAGUGUGAUUUCAUUUUCUCUGCAAUGUGAUGAAACGACUAAAUUGUCAGAAGAGAGAGCGUUUGAAGAGAACAGCACAACACCACAAACAGAUGAGUCGGAGUAUGAGGCUGCUCAUGUGAAAGAUGGAGAGACAAAGGCAGUGACAGACACUACAGAGGAGGAAAAUGGUGAAGAAUCAGAAGAGAACAAAUUGCUUGAGAAGGAAGAUAGUGAUGGUAAGGUGACACAUAUGUUUUACCAGUUAUACAAUUAGAUUAGAUUAGAUGGAUUCAACUUUAUUAAAGUACAAGAAUAGAGCCAAUGCAGUUAGUUAGUUAUUAUUGCUAUUAUUAUUCAUUUGUCUCUUUAUUCUCUGUGGAUAACCCUAUAGAUGGUGAGAGAGAGGCACUAGCAGACUCUACAGGAGCGAACACCGGAAGUGACGCGCCCACAGGAAGGUCACGCUCGGUGGAGGUCCAGCCGUCACCACACGAGGGCGACAGUGCGUCUCUCACUACACCACAUUAG